GAUGAACGCUAGCGGCAGGCCUAAUACAUGCAAGUCGGACGGGAUUCAGGAGCUUGCUUCUGAUGAGAGUGGCGCACGGGUGCGUAACACGUAUGUAACCUACCUUUAUCAGGGGGAUAGCCUCUCGAAAGAGAGAUUAAGCCCGCAUAAAAUCACAGCACAGCAUUGUGUAAUGAUCAAAUAUUUAUAGGAUAAAGAUGGGCAUGCGGAACAUUAGCUAGAUGGCGGGGUAACGGCCCACCAUGGCGACGAUGUUUAGGGGAUCUGAGAGGAUGGCCCCCCACACUGGUACUGAGACACGGACCAGACUCCUACGGGAGGCAGCAGUAAGGAAUAUUGGUCAAUGGGCGGUAGCCUGAACCAGCCAUGCCGCGUGCAGGAAGACGGCCCUACGGGUUGUAACCUGCUUUUAUACGGGAAUAAACCCAGAUACGUGUAUCUGGCUGAAUGUACUGUAAGAAUAAGGAUCGGCUAACUCCGUG
rnacentral:rRNA from 1 species